UACGGGGGGGGCAAGCGUUGUUCGGAAUUACUGGGCGUAAAGGGCUCGUAGGCGGCCAACUAAGUCAGACGUGAAAUCCCUCGGCUUAACCGGGGAACUGCGUCUGAUACUGGAUGGCUUGAGUUCGGGAGAGGGAUGUGGAAUUCCAGGUGUAGCGGUGAAAUGCGUAGAUAUCUGGAGGAACACCGGUGGCGAAGGCGGCAUCCUGGACCAACACUGACGCUGAGGAGCGAAAGCCAGGGGAGCAAAGCGGG
rnacentral:rRNA from 1 species